rnacentral:tRNA from 1 species
GGGCCCGUAGUCUAGCAGGUAGGACGUCGCCCUCACACGGCGGAGGUCCGGGGUUCGAAUCCCCGCGGGCCCACCA